GUCCACGCCCUAAACGAUGUCAACUGGUUGUUGGGUCUUCACUGACUCAGUAACGAAGCUAACGCGUGAAGUUGACCGCCUGGGGAGUACGGCCGCAAGGUUGAAACUCAAAGGAAUUGACGGGGACCAGCACAAGCGGUGGAUGAUGUGGUUUAAUUCGAUGCAACGCGAAAAACCUUACCACCUUUGACAUGUACGGAAGUUACCAGAGAUGGUUUCGUGCUCGAAAGAGAGCCGUAACACAGGUGCUGCAUGGCUGUCGU
rnacentral:rRNA from 1 species